rnacentral:rRNA from 1 species
CAGCAGCCACGGGAAUACGUAGGUGGCAAGCGUUGUCCGGAAUUAUUGGGCGUAAAGGGCUCGCAGGCGGUUUCUUAAGUCUGAUGUGAAAGCCCCCGGCUCAACCGGGGAGGGUCAUUGGAAACUGGGAAACUUGAGUGCAGAAGAGGAGAGUGGAAUUCCACGUGUAGCGGUGAAAUGCGUAGAGAUGUGGAGGUACACCAGUGGCGAAGGCGACUCUCUGGUCUGUAACUGACGCUGAGGAGCGAAAGCGUGGGGAGCGAACAGGAUUAGAGACCCGCGUAGUCCCUGUCUCUUAUAC